UGAAAUGUGCAUGGUCUUGGUGUCUUCGCAGAGGGAAGGGCUGAGGAGGGCUGGACUUGAUGUACCAUAAAUGUUCAGAGAGUAGAAAGCAGUGACAAAGAAGUGCAUGUGAUGGUGCCGACACAGAGCCAAGGAUGAAAGCACGCAGAUGCAUUCUGCCCAAUCCUGAUCCCUGGUCUCUGAGAAGUGAUGAGACUGGGGCUGGGGAAAAAGGAGGUUGAUUUGGAAGACCGUUCUGAGCAGGGAAGGAUGGUGUGGAGGCCUUUGGGAAGUGGG
rnacentral:lncRNA from 10 species